CAGUCGCCGCGGUAAUACAGAGGGUGCAAGCGUUAAUCGGAAUGACUGGGCGUAAAGGGCGCGUAGGCGGCGGCCAAAGUCAGGCGUGAAAUUCCCGGGCUCAACCUGGGAACUGCAUCUUAUACUGCGUAGCUGGAGUGCAGUAGAGGGUAGUGGAAUUUCCGGUGUAGCGGUGAAAUGCGUAGAUAUUGGGAAGAACACCGGUGGCGAAGGCGGCAACCUGGUCCUUGACUGACGCUGAGGCGCGAAAGCUAGGGGAGCAAACAGGAUUAGAUACCCGUGUAGUCCCGUCUCUUAUACA
rnacentral:rRNA from 1 species